rnacentral:snRNA from 1 species
AUCGCUUCUCGGCCUUUUGGCUAAGAUCAAGUGUAGUAUCUGUUCUUAUCAGUUUAAUAUCUAUAUGUCCCCCAUCGGGGGACUAUACAUAUUAAAUGGAUUUUUCGAACAGGGAGUCGGAAGCGGGGCUUGCUCCGUCCGCUCCACGCAUCGACUCGUAUUGCAGUACCUCCGAGAACGGUGCACCCUCU